rnacentral:siRNA from 1 species
UCGUGUUUUCCGGUGUACUGC